CUCAAAGAGAGCUGAUCAGCGCCCGAAGGGAGCAAGGACUCGCUGCGAGUUCCACUUUGGAAUUGAGGUCAGUUGAGAUGUGAGAGACAGCUUUGGUUAAUCGUGUCGUGACCUUGCCAACCUGCAGUUAUACAGCGUGCCCACAGCCUUCAGAGCACUGGAUAGCAGCAUCAUUAGCAAGACCUUUGUCCUGUGCCAGGGUGGAGAACGGCUGUCAUGGGGAGUACAACAUUUGGCCCAGAGGAAAAAUACACCUCUUGUAAACCAGGAUAGAAGGAAGAAAGGAAGACUUUGGAGACAAUUUGAUUCAAGCCAUGCCCUUUCAUUUUGGACUGGAUUCACCAAUAUUCUGUUUCCCAGAUCUGUCACGACACCUCACCAGAGAAAUUUGCUCCAUCUAGAGCUC